CCUUGCACUUCAAAUGAGUUUCUCUUUUCUCUGGAAUAGUCUGGUCAAAGCUGAAGUCACAGAAAGCAUUAGAGCGCUGGCAGCCAGACACCGAGGAGGAAUAUGAAGACUCCAGCGGAAACGUGGUCAACAAGAAGACUUUUGAGGAUCUGAAACGCCAGGGGCUUCUGUAGCACAACAAACAAGAUCUCUGAACACAAAAUACUCGCAGUGUAAAUACUGAGGCAGAAAUGUGAUCGUUUAGUCCUCUUGUCUUUUCCAGUUUGUGAGAAAUGUGAUUGGUCUUUUUAAAAGCGAUCAGUAUGUACAUUUUUAUUACUAUUUGAUUGUUCCCAAUUUUUCUCAUUUGGUGUCUUAAAUUUGAGACUUUCAUUAAUCAAUAAAUUGUAGUACAUUGUGUGAAAAAUGAUUACUUGUGCAGCAUGCUGUUUUUAAAAUCAGACCGUGAGAUGGUUUUACUUCAGUGGGCAUCUGUCAUUUCACUAAAAAAUAUUCUGACCCCUUCAUUUUUCCCAACAUUUUAUGUUGCAGCCUCCACAUCAGACUACACUCCAUACAUCAUAAUGUCAAAGCAAAAUCAGAUGUGUGAUGACUGCAAAUGAAAAAAGACCAUUUAAAA